UUGUAAUACUAAAACGAUUUUCGUCUCACUUUGAUCAAUAGCAAACGUCUGCUAGCCUAAGAACAUAUUUUGUUUAUGAAACGUUAAAAACAGAUGAUUGCAUUGGGAACACUACCUUCCUUCAAUAAACGUCACUGGAUGGUUGAUGGCUGAGAUUGCUAUUCUCCAGCUUCCAAUCUGGGGUGUUUACGUCGUUCAAAAACAAAACAGACAAGUUUGAAUUCAGAUUACGAUCUGCGGUGAAAAAGGGCCCACCCAGGUUCGUCAACUAUAACCAGUGGCACCUAAAGUAAAACACAAAACUUGAAUUCAGAUAUUUAAAGCUAGUCUCCUUCUAGCAGAUGAAUGGGAACCACAAGACACUGAAACCAAACAUCUCUGGUUACAACAAGCAGUUUGUGUGCUUCAGUUGAAUUCCCAAUCCUAAGUGGCUUAGUACUGCUACAGUGCUGAAAAUUAUACUGUCCAAACCUCUUGUGUCACUAGUGUUUAAAUCUAGAGAUGAACUAAAUGGAAAGUGUGGUAAUAAAAACUUCUCAAAGUU
rnacentral:lncRNA from 1 species